rnacentral:rRNA from 1 species
GAUGAACGCUGGCGGCGUGCCUAAUACAUGCAAGUCGAGCGAGCGGACGAGAAGCUUGCUUCUCUGAUGUUAGCGGCGGACGGGUGAGUAACACGUGGAUAACCUACCUAUAAGACUGGGAUAACUUCGGGAAACCGGAGCUAAUACCGGAUGAUAUUUUGAACCGCAUGGUUCAAAAGUGAAAGACGGUCUUGCUGUCACUUAUAGAUGGAUCCGCGCUGCAUUAGCUAGUUGGUAAGGUAACGGCUUACCAAGGCAACGAUGCAUAGCCGACCUGAGAGGGUGAUCGGCCACACUGGAACUGAGACACGGUCCAGACUCCGACGGGAGGCAGCAGUAGGGAAUCUUACGCAAUGGGCGAAAGCCUGACGGAGCAACGCCGCGUGAGUGAUGAAGGUCUUCGGAUCGUAAAACUCUGUUAUUAGGGAAGAACAUAUGUGUAAGUAACUGUGCACAUCUUGACGGUACCUAAUCAGAAAGCCACGGCUAACUACGUG